ACGGCCAUUCGGUCCGUUACAGUCGUGUAAAUAUUUAUAACAAAGCAAUUUGAAUUCAUGUAAUUAUAGAAAGUAGUUUAAUUAAUAUUUUCCUGUAAAUAGUAUAAAGCUAUGAAAUAAUUCCAUUCCAGUACACCGCGUUUCAAAAGCUCUUUUAUUCUCUCACGCUCGCAGAACGCGCAGAACGUUCUAGAUCAACGUGCCUACCAUGUGGCGAGCGCGUGUGAUUACGUCACGGGUCGGGUAGUGACCAUCCACCUGGGGAAAAUCCCAACAAAGCCUCUUUGAUAAUUUUCGGGAAAGAUCGGCAGGCAAAGUAGGCUGCGAUCCGAAUGGAUUAAUUGCUUCCUGCACUUCGAUCGUUAGGAGGGGGAAAUGCGAUCUAGGGACUUCGUGAGGUCAAAACCGAAGGCUAAGAAUUAGGACAAUCUUACAUUUAAUCUGAGGAUUCUUGACUGUGACUCGUUCACUUUGAUCUGGAUUGUGGAAGAGGCAGGAGUUGUCCGAUUUAGUUUCGCGUCGUGAGGUGAUAUUACAGUUAUAGCAAAGACAGUCGUUCACUAGUUCCUAGUUUAGCUAAAAACUGUGCUGGUUGAGGAAAGUGUGCGAGUGUGGAGCGACAAUCAGAAUCGUGGCCGGUGUGCUGAAAGCCCGUCACCUCACCCGUUUACCAGUGACCACUCCUGACCCCACUCUGCAGCUUCGAAGUUUCCCGGCGGUCCACUUUGCCGGAAGGGGCCGCGAUCGACAUUUUCGCGCCCAGGCAGGGCG